UACGUAGGGUACAAGCGUUGUCCGGAAUUAUUGGGCGUAAAGAGCUCGUAGGCGGUUCGUCACGUCGGCUGUGAAAUCCCGAGGCUCAACCUCGGGUCUGCAGUCGAUACGGGCGGACUUGAGUACUGCAGGGGAGACUGGAAUUCCUGGUGUAGCGGUGAAAUGCGCAGAUAUCAGGAGGAACACCGGUGGCGAAGGCGGGUCUCUGGGCAGUAACUGACGCUGAGGAACGAAAGCGUGGGUAGCAAACAGG
rnacentral:rRNA from 1 species